rnacentral:rRNA from 1 species
UUCGGGGUACUCGAGUGGCGAACGGGUGAGUAACACGUUGGUGAUCUGCCCUGCACUUUGGGAUAAGCCUGGGAAACUGGGUCUAAUACCGAAUAGGACCACGCGCUUCAUGGUGUGUGGUGGAAAGCUUUUGCGGUGUGGGAUGGGCCCGCGGCCUAUCAGCUUGUUGGUGGGGUAAUGGCCUACCAAGGCGACGACGGGUAGCCGGCCUGAGAGGGUGACCGGCCACACUGGGACUGAGAUACGGCCCAGACUCCUACGGGAGGCAGCAGUGGGGAAUAUUGCACAAUGGGCGCAAGCCUGAUGCAGCGACGCCGCGUGAGGGAUGACGGCCUUCGGGUUGUAAACCUCUUUCAAUAGGGACGAAGCGCAAGUGACGGUACCUAUAGAAGAAGCACCGGCCAACUACGUGCCAGCAGCCGCGGUAAUACGUAGGGUGCGAGCGUUGUCCGGAAUUACUGGGCGUAAAGAGCUCGUAGGUGGUUUGUCGCGUUGUUCGUGAAAACUCACAGCUUAACUGUGGGCGUGCGGGCGAUACGGGCAGACUAGAGUACUGCAGGGGAGACUGGAAUUCCUGGUGUAGCGGUGGAAUGCGCAGAUAUCAGGAGGAACACCGGUGGCGAAGGCGGGUCUCUGGGCAGUAACUGACGCUGAGGAGCGAAAGCGUGGGGAGCGAACAGGAUUAGAUACCCUGGUAGUCCACGCCGUAAACGGUGGGUACUAGGUGUGGGUUCCUUCCUUGGGAUCCGUGCCGUAGCUAACGCAUUAAGUACCCCGCCUGGGGAGUACGGCCGCAAGGCUAAAACUCAAAGGAAUUGACGGGGGCCCGCACAAGCGGCGGAGCAUGUGGAUUAAUUCGAUGCAACGCGAAGAACCUUACCUGGGUUUGACAUGCACAGGACGCCGGCAGAGAUGUCGGUUCCCUUGUGGCCUGUGUGCAGGUGGUGCAUGGCUGUCGUCAGCUCGUGUCGUGAGAUGUUGGGUUAAGUCCCGCAACGAGCGCAACCCUUGUCCUAUGUUGCCAGCGGGUUAUGCCGGGGACUCGUAGGAGACUGCCGGGGUCAACUCGGAGGAAGGUGGGGAUGACGUCAAGUCAUCAUGCCCCUUAUGUCCAGGGCUUCACACAUGCUACAAUGGCCGGUACAAAGGGCUGCGAUGCCGUGAGGUGGAGCGAAUCCUUUCAAAGCCGGUCUCAGUUCGGAUCGGGGUCUGCAACUCGACCCCGUGAAGUCGGAGUCGCUAGUAAUCGCAGAUCAGCAACGCUGCGGUUAAUACGUUCCCGGGCCUUGUACACACCGCCCGUCACGUCAUGAAAGUCGGUAACACCCGAAGCCGGUGGCC